rnacentral:rRNA from 1 species
AACGAACGCUGGCGGCAUGCCUAACACAUGCAAGUCGAACGAAACCUUCGGGUCUUGUGGCGCACGGGUGCGUAACGCGUGGGAACCUGCCCUUAGGUUCGGAAUAACUCCCCGAAAGGGGUGCUAAUACCGGAUAAUGUCUUCGGACCAAAGAUUUAUCGCCUUUGGAUGGGCCCGCGUUGGAUUAGCUCGUUGGUAGGGUAAAAGCCUACCAAGGCGACGAUCCAUAGCUGGUCUGAGAGGAUGAUCAGCCACACUGGGACUGAGACACGGCCCAGACUCCUACGGGAGGCAGCAGUGGGGAAUAUUGGACAAUGGGCGAAAGCCUGAUCCAGCAAUGCCGCGUGAGUGAUGAAGGCCUUAGGGUUGUAAAGCUCUUUUACCCGGGAUGAUAAUGACAGUACCGGGAGAAUAAGCUCCGGCUAACUCCGUG